rnacentral:lncRNA from 1 species
AUAUUAAAGUCUAGUCCAAAAGGGUGCAUUCUUAAAUUAACUAUUUUACAGUAGUUAUUUCAAUAUACAUUUCUCAAGGUAUUCUCAGAGAGACUUCAGUCAUUCCAGGUCACCUACUACCUGAACAAAUCUAAGAGCCCCUGUUCCACAACAGGGAGAUGGCCCCAACUGAGAUGAAGCGCGAGCAUGAGAGCAGAUUCGUGGAAAUUAUAGCAUCAGGGAAUUAUAGCACAAGAUUCGUGGAAAUAGAGCAUCUGUCAGAGAUGGCAGAGGGCUUUUUUUUUUUUUAAGGAUCACAUUGAUUCAACACUUUCUAUUGUGCUCAGAAGUGGGUAAGUCUUACUUGUGACAGAAGAAGUUUAAUCAUAAUUCUGUUGAAAGGUGGAUUCUGUGUAUGUGACCAACAAUAGCUUAUUAUGUGAGUUUCAGGUCUG